rfam:Ovis aries breed Texel chromosome 13, whole genome shotgun sequence.
UCCCAAGUGGCUCAGUGGUGAAGAUUCUGCCUGCCAAGCAGGAGACACAGGUUUGAUCCUUGGGUUGGGAA